CUGCGAUCGACGUGUCCGGAACGUAAUCCGUCGUAGCAACCCUCAAUAUUUACGUGAAAUGUAUCGCGAAGUGCCUCCAAAAUAAUAUAACGCGCUAUGCCAUCGAUCCGAUAAACAUAUGCGCGUUUGCACACGUAAAGCUCGCGGUUUCGCGUGUGCUUCUGUGAUGAAAAUGGAAAAGUUGUUUUUAUUCGAACGUUAGCGGAAAAAUAGAGGUGAAAAUGGCGUCGAUAGAGCAAACCCCGACGGUGCCCACGACCCCGUACAUGGAGAACGUCGCUGACCCGACACUGGCAGCAGCCGCUGCCGCGAAGAAACAGGCUCGGGGCAGAGGAAAAGCGCAGCCAGAAAAACCUAAGAGGAGCUUGAUGUGCCUCACUCUGGACAACCCUUUACGGAAACUAUGUUAUAGCAUCGUUGAGUGGAAACCAUUUGAAUAUAUGAUCUUGACCACGAUCUUCGCAAAUUGCAUCGCCUUAGCGGUAUUCACACCGUACCCGUUCGGAGAUACAAACAACACAAAUCAAAUACUGGAAAAAGUGGAAUGGGUUUUCAUGGUGAUAUUCACCGGGGAGUGCAUCAUCAAGAUCAUAGCGUACGGCUUCUUUUUUCAUCCAGGAGCCUAUCUUCGGAAUACUUGGAACAGUCUAGAUUUUACUAUAGUCACAAUCGGUAUUGCGAGUAUGAUACAACAGUACCUAUCGAUAGAUUUGUUCGACGUAAAAGCACUGAGAGCUUUCAGGGUACUGAGGCCGUUACGACUCGUUUCCGGAGUACCUAGUCUUCAAAUUGUUCUGAACUCCAUCCUGAAAGCCAUGGUGCCGCUCUUUCACAUAGCCUUCCUUGUGCUAUUCGUGAUCAUCAUCUAUGCCAUCAUAGGCUUGGAGCUGUUCUCGGGAGUGCUCCAUGAAACUUGCUUCAACAAUGAAACAGGUGAGACAAUGGCGAACCCUGCGCCUUGUAGUAGCACUCAAGGCGAUGGUAUGAAGUGCAAAGACAAUAUGACUUGCAAGGGUUAUUGGGAUGGACCAAAUGAUGGGAUCACCAAUUUUGACAACAUCGGAUACGCCAUGUUGACUGUCUUCCAAUGUAUCACGCUUGAAGGCUGGACAGAUAUUAUGUAUGCGGUGGCCAACGUCAAAGGCAAAACGUGGGUUUGGAUCUACUUCGUGACUUUGGUGAUCUUCGGGAACUUCUUCGUCAUGAAUCUGAUCCUGGGUGUGUUGUCAGGUGAGUUUUCCAAAGAAAGAGAGAAAGCGAAGAGCCGUGGUGAUUUCCAGAAGUCACGCGAAAGGCAACAGCUGGAAGAAGACAUGAAGGGGUAUCUGAAUUGGAUCACAGUUGCGGAAGAGCUGGACUUGGAGAAUGAACAGACGCAGAAUGAGGAUGAUCAGGACGCCCAAGGCAAGAAAGAUAGAAAGAGCAAUGAAGAAUCACAGAAUAAUUUGAACGUGAACGGGGAUCAAGUACAAACAUCAAGAUCCUAUAGAUUCGAUAAGGUCAAUCGUCGAUUACGUAGAGCCUGCAGAAUAGCCGUGAAGACACAGACUUUCUAUUGGGCAAUCAUCAUAUUGGUAUUCCUCAAUACACUGGUGCUAGCUACUGAACAUUACAAUCAACCUCGAUGGCUUGAUUAUUUCCAGAACUACGCCAACUAUUUUUUCGUUGUUCUGUUUACUCUUGAGAUGAUGCUGAAGAUGUACGCGCUAGGAUUUCAGGGCUACUUCGUAUCCCUAUUCAAUCGCUUCGAUUGCUUCAUCAUGGUCUGCUCUGUGGUGGAAUUGGCGCUUACUUUAACAGAGACCAUACCGCAGCUCGGUAUUUCCGUGCUGAGGUGUGUCAGGCUACUAAGAGUCUUCAAGGUUACCAAGUAUUGGCGGUCUCUUUCUAAUCUCGUAGCAUCUCUGCUUAACUCCAUCCAGUCCAUCUUCUCCCUUCUUCUGCUGCUAUUCUUGUUUAUCGUGAUCUUCGCUUUACUUGGGAUGCAAGUGUUUGGUGGGAGAUUCGACUACGCGCCGGAAGCUGAGAAAGAGAGGCAUAACUUCGAUUCUUUCUGGCAGGCAGUUCUGACCAUGUUUCAGAUACUGACAGGCGAAGAUUGGAAUGUAGUCAUGUAUGAGGGGAUCAAAGCAUACGGUGGCGCCGGGACGCCGGGAAUGCUGGCGUCUAUAUACUUCAUCGUUAUAUUCAUUUGCGGCAAUUAUAUUUUACUAAACGUAUUCUUGGCCAUCGCUGUCGACAACCUUGGCGACGCAGAGGAAAUGGAUGCAAUCGAAAAACAGAAAGAGAUGGCAGAAAACGCUGAAGCCGGUAAUGUGGUUCUCGAUGAAGAAAGAGGAGAAACUGAUGAUGAAUAUGUUAACGAGGAAGAAGGAUAUUCUAAUGAAGGGUCUGAGAAUGAAUGCGAAGAGACUGGUUCUGAAGAAGACGUGGAAGAACAGGAACAAGAGGAGAAAGAGAAUCCUCAAGAUAUAUUGGUCACUAUUGACAAAAAACAAAAUGGAGACGUUAACAAAAAAGAAUCAGAGCCCCAUGUAACAAUUUCGGCCCGACCUCGAAGGUUAUCGGAUGUGAACAUCAAAACGCAAGAGAAGCCUAUACCUGAUGCCAGUAGCUUCUUUAUACUCUCCAAGGAUAAUUGUUUUCGGGUGGCCUGCUACAAUAUUCAAAAAAACUCCUGGUUCAAGAAUCUUAUUCUGAUAUGCAUCUUGGCGUCUUCCGUCAUGCUGGCUUUGGAGGACCCUGUUACCAGCAACUUGAACACCCCUACUGGGAUAAAUGAGGUUCUACGCAACGUGGAUUACUUCUUCACGGCUGUAUUUACAAUUGAGCUCCUAUUGAAGCUCAUUACAUACGGUUUUAUACUGCACAAAGAUUCUUUCUGUCGUUCUGGAUUCAACUUGCUCGAUUUGCUGGUUGUGAUCGUGUCCUUUAUAUCGUUGGACAGAUCAAACAGCGUCAACUUCAUUAAGAUUUUGAGGGUCUUCCGCGUUUUAAGGCCGCUUCGUGCCAUAAACAGAGCCAAAGGUCUAAAGCACGUAGUUCAAUGCGUGAUCGUUGCUAUAAAGACAAUCGGAAACAUAUUAUUGGUGACAAAUCUUCUACAAUUCAUGUUUGCCGUUAUGGGAGUGCAAAUGUUCAAGGGUAGAUUUUUUAAAUGUACAGAUAUUACGAAGGACAAUGAAAAUGAUUGCCAUGGCACGUAUCUCAUUUACGAGAACGGCGAGGCCAUAACGAACGAUCGUUUGUGGCUACGCAACAAAUUCAACUUCGACGACGUCCUCAACGGUAUGCUGACUCUUUUCACCGUCUCCACGUACGAGGGAUGGCCGGCUCUACUCUCCACAUCAAUGGAUUCUAAUAAAGAGAAUCACGGACCUAUAGAAAAUUCAAGGCCGUUCGUCGCGUUCUUCUAUAUCAGCUACAUCAUUGUCAUUGCUUUUUUUAUGGUCAAUAUCUUCGUGGGCUUUGUCAUAGUCACGUUCCAGAAAGAAGGAGAGCAAGAGUUCAAGGACUGCGAGCUGGAUAAGAACCAGAGGAACUGUAUAGAGUUCGCACUAAAAGCCAAACCGAUUAGAAGAUACAUUCCAAAGCAUCGCAUCCAGUACAAGACUUGGUGGUUUGUGACCUCGCAGCGUUUUGAAAACGUCAUCUUCUUCUUCAUCGUGCUAAACACCAUCGCGCUGAUGAUGAAGUUCCAUGGCUCCAAAACGGAAUAUAAAAAGGGACUUGACGUUCUUAAUAUGGGAUUAACCACUGUCUUUACUUUGGAGUUCAUCCUGAAAUUGGCCGCAUUUAGGUUUAAGAACUACUUCGGCGAUGCUUGGAAUACGACGGAUUUCAUUCUAGUCGUGGGGAGUAUCAUUGACAUACUGGUGACGCAGGUCAACGAAAAAAAGGAGCUCGGAAGUUUCGAUGCAAAAACUGAGAAAGGUCCCCUGUCAAAAUACAUCACGUUCUUUCGUCUCUUCCGGGCCAUGAGGUUGAUAAAACUCUUAUCCAGAGGAGAGAGGAUCAGAACUCUCCUGUGGACCUUCAUCAAGUCAUUCCAGGCUCUACCUUAUGUCGCUUUAUUGAUUGUACUGCUAUUCUUCAUUUACGCUGUGGUUGGAAUGCAGCUUUUCGGAAGAAUUUACUUUGACGACGCAGUCAUAACUGACCAUAAUAAUUUCCAGACAUUUCCGAACGCUCUCAUGGUGCUCUUUCGAUCUGCUACAGGUGAAGCAUGGCAGGAGAUCAUGAUGGCAUUAUCGCCCAAUGAAUAUGAGCGUCCGGGCAAUCCGCCUCAUUGCAUCAAAAUCGACACAGACGGCCGCUACGUUGAAGAUACAACAGAAUGCGGUAGUUGGCUAGCGUUCCCCUACUUCAUAUCCUUCUCUUUGCUCUGUACAUUCUUGAUCAUUAACUUAUUUGUGGCCGUCAUCAUGGACAACUUUGAUUAUUUGACGAGAGAUUGGUCCAUUCUUGGCCCCCAUCAUCUGGAUGAGUUUGUUCGGUUGUGGAGUGAAUACGACCCCGACGCUAAAGGCAGAAUCAAGCAUUUAGACGUGGUGACGUUGCUGAGGAAAAUAAGCCCGCCUUUAGGUUUCGGAAAGUUGUGCCCUCACAGGACUGCGUGCAAGCGUCUGGUGUCGAUGAACAUGCCUCUCAAUUCCGACGGGACGGUCAAUUUCAACGCGACCCUCUUUGCUGUUGUCAGAACUCAACUCCAAAUAAAGACUACAGGUGUAAUUGACGAAUGCAAUACCCAACUCCGCGCGAUCAUCAAAAGAGUUUGGAAGAGAACUUCUCCCAAGCUCCUGGACCAAGUGGUCCCGCCUCCCGGAGACCCGAACGAGAUCACGGUGGGAAAAUUCUACGCGACUUUCCUAAUUCAAGAUUACUUCCGGAGGAACCAUGCGUUCCGAAAACGAAAGGAGCAGGCUGCAGCCACCAACGUCCAGAAAACCUUCCAGGCCGGUAUGAGGACUCUACACGAAGCCGGUCCAGAGCUGAAGAGAGCUAUCUCCGGUAACCUAGAUGAGAUCGUCGAAAUUGUGGAGCCUAUGCACAGGCGCAACCACACAUUAUUCGGUGCUGUCCUAGCAAGUAUCAAGAAACACGGUCGCGAGAGCUUGUAUAGGAGAGAAAAACCACGUCAAGAAGUAAAAAGCUCUGCAUCUGGCGAUGGACCAUCACUGGGCGCCAUGAUGCGGCGGGAGCUUGGCUUGGAUGGCAAAAUACCUGAGGAAGAAGUGAAAGGUGACGAAGGUAACCACAGCGACGAAGAGAUAGCGAUGCAGCCUCUCCUUCACGGCAAAGAUUCGGAAAGCAUUUUCAAAGUUAUCGAGUCGUGACAAACAACGUGUACAAACCAACCACGUGCCUUACUGUGUAGAGAAUCCUGCGGAGAAAUUAAUAAUAAGGGUGCUGACCGAGCAAGGUCUAGGGAAGUACUGCGACAAAG
rnacentral:misc_RNA from 1 species